CAGUGCAGGGUGGAAGUGGAGGUAUGUGUACAGUCACCCCCAUUGUCUGUCAGGAUUACUGGGGGCAGAGUCGUCAUUAACCCCUUCACUACCAGCCCUCUCCCCCAGAUCCACUCUCCCUCUGGGGCUGACACUGCCCUCCAGUCCCUUCUUCAGGCUCUUUCCAGCAGUGAAGGUGCAGUGGUGAGGCUACCUCCCAACUGUCCCAGACCCGGUGGGACAGUCCCAGAGUUUGGUGGUUUUCCUGCAGUCCCAGAACGGCUGAGAAUUCCACCGCUUUUCCUUCUUGUUGUUACAAUCUCAGUGCUGAGGAGUCUGUAUAAUAAGCCCAAGACGAUCGAUUUGGGGUAAAUCCUGAGAUCCCAGCUGAUAGGAGGAGGGUAGUCUCAGCUCUGGAUCUAUGACGUCACCUACCAGAUUACAGGUUCCUACAAUAUAGGAUCCGCUCAGUGGAGAUCUUCUAUAUAAGAUCCUUCUCCUGAUUAACCCAUCAAGAAUGGAUAGGGACAGGGACAAGAUGGCGGAGAGUAUAAUAAAUCUCACCGUAGAGAUCCUCUUCUGUCUUACUGGAGAGGACUACACAGUAGUGAAGAAGACCUCUAGUGGGCGCUGUCAGGACCCUUUUUAUGAAGGAUGGGGAAGAACCCUGAGCCCAAUCACGAGGCCUCCACCUCACCCACAGAAACAUGAGGGAAUCAAUAGAGAGAAGAUCCUGGAACUCACCAACAAGAUGAUUGAGCUGCUGACUGGAGAGGUUCCUAUAAGGUGUCAGGAUGUCAGCGUCUAUUUCUCGAUGGAGGAGUGGGAGUAUUUAG